GCUGUUUAAGGGUUCGUAGUUGAAUUGUGGGUUGUCAAGGCAACGAUCAAGUCCCUUCCUCCGGUCGGUGACCAUCGUUCUUGCAACUCGGAGAACAUCAGAAACAAACAUCGCGGGAUCGUUUCCUCCCGAUUCGCAUGCAAUGUAUGCAGGGAGGCGUCCGUGUGUUUUACUGUGCUAAAAAAGCGCGACCAAAGCAGUCGUUUGACAUGAAUUUGAAAGCAUGGGAUAACAAAGGGCAGCCUACGGGCUACCGUUUCGGCUUUUGUUGGUAUUAGAGGUCUGUGGGAGAUUAUGGUGCGCAUGACAAGCGGUUCGGGGUCUCGUCCCCACGCCUCCGCCGCUCGGGGCUUUCGGGUCUCGUCGGUGGCUUGCGUCGUCCGGAAUGAAGGAGGGUUGUUCGGGGGAGAACGUCUUGAGCGUGAGAGGUGAAAUUCUUAGACCGCUCAAAGACGAACUACAGCGAAGGCAUUCUCCAGGAUACCUUCCUCAAUCAAGAACCAAAGUGUGGAGAUCGAAGAUGAUUAGAUACCUUGUAGUCC
rnacentral:rRNA from 1 species